CCCUUAGAUGUUCUCGGCCGCACACGCGCUACACUGAAAGAGGCAACGUGUUUGCCUGAUUCGAAAGAAUUGGGUAACCCCCUAAUCUCUUUCGUGCUGGGGAUUGAGGUUUGCAAUUAUCCUUCAUGAACGAGGAAUUCCCAGUAAGUGCGAGUCAUUAUCUCGCGCUGACUACGUCCCUGCCCUUUGUACACACCGCCCGUCGCUACUACCGAUUGAAUGAUUUAGUGAGGACUUCGGACUGAGUCCAAUGCGGCUUUCGGGCUGCGUUAGUAUUUCGGAAAGAUGUCCAAACUGUAUCAUUUAGAGGAAGUAAAAGUCGUAACA
rnacentral:rRNA from 1 species